UUUAAUUGAGUCUUUAUUUCACUACUUGGCUCACCUCUGUCUUGUGAAUUCCUCAGAAGGAGAGAUCAAUCUAUAUUUUUUGAACAGGUGCUUCAUUAUGGGAGGAACCAGAAGAAUCAUCAAUUUCACAAACAUCUAUUGAGUGGCUGCUACAUGAACACUGUCCCUGCCAUCUUCUCCAUGGUUAGCCAGCCGCUGAAUUGCAAACUCUAUGGACUACUGGGAAAAUGGAAUACUUUAUACCAGGCUGUCUACAAAAC